rnacentral:rRNA from 1 species
UACGGAGGGUGCAAGCGUUGUCCGGAUUUAUUGGGUUUAAAGGGUGCGUAGGUGGUUUGUUAAGUCUGGCUUGAAAGCGGGUGGCUCAACCAUUCGAUUGGGUUGGAAACUGGCAGACUUGAAUGGAUUGGCGGUAGCCGGAACGGGUCAUGUAGCGGUGAAAUGCAUAGAUAUGACCCAGAACCCCGAUUGCGAAGGCAGGCUACUACGAUCGGAUUGACACUGAGGCACGAGAGCAUGGGGAG